rnacentral:rRNA from 1 species
AUUGAACGCUGGCGGCAUGCCUUACACAUGCAAGUCGAACGGUAACAGGUCUUCGGAUGCUGACGAGUGGCGAACGGGUGAGUAAUACAUCGGAACGUGCCUAGUAGUGGGGGAUAACUACUCGAAAGAGUGGCUAAUACCGCAUGAGAUCUACGGAUGAAAGCAGGGGAUCGCAAGACCUUGCGCUACUAGAGCGGCCGAUGGCAGAUUAGGUAGUUGGUGGGGUAAAAGCUUACCAAGCCGACGAUCUGUAGCUGGUCUGAGAGGACGAUCAGCCACACUGGGACUGAGACACGGCCCAGACUCCUACGGGAGGCAGCAGUGGGGAAUUUUGGACAAUGGGCGCAAGCCUGAUCCAGCAAUGCCGCGUGCAGGAUGAAGGCCUUCGGGUUGUAAACUGCUUUUGUACGGAACGAAAAGCCCUGGGUUAAUACCCUGGGGUCAUGACGGUACCGUAAGAAUAAGCACCGGCUAACUACGUGCCAGCCGCCGCGGUAACAC